CAGCAGCUCCCUGUGAGUAGCUUUCUAAUCUGCUGGGGCCACGGUAACAAGACUGACUACGAAAACCAGACAUCCAAAAGUCUGAAAGACA
rnacentral:lncRNA from 1 species